GGGGAUGCACCUCGAAUAGUUCGUAAGAGAAGGCCAUUGCACAGAGUUUGUGGCGAAGAAGGUCAUUUAGCAAAUUGAGGAUAGCGACGCCGCCAAGCAGCCCCCGCAAAAAGUCAUAAGGAUUAACACAAUCCUGGCUAACUCCGAGGAGUCCUAGCUGACCAGCAAGGAAAAGAAGAGGAAGAUUAAACAAGCCACUAUGAUCUCCC
rnacentral:lncRNA from 1 species